rnacentral:rRNA from 1 species
CGGAACGUGCCCAGUAGCGGGGGAUAACUACGCGAAAGCGUAGCUAAUACCGCAUACGCCCUUAGGGGGAAAGCAGGGGAUCGCAAGACCUUGCACUAUUGGAGCGGCCGAUAUCGGAUUAGCUAGUUGGUGAGGUAAUGGCUCACCAAGGCCGCGAUCCGUAGCUGGUUUGAGAGGACGACCAGCCACACUGGGACUGAGACACGGCCCAGACUCCUACGGGAGGCAGCAGUGGGGAAUUUUGGACAAUGGGGGAAACCCUGAUCCAGCCAUCCCGCGUGUGCGAUGAAGGCCUUCGGGUUGUAAAGCACUUUUGGCAGGAAAGAAACGGCGCGUGCUAAUACCAUGCGCAACUGACGGUACCUGCAGAAUAAGCACCGGCUAACUACGUGCCAGCAGCCGCGGUAAUACGUAGGGUGCAAGCAUUAAUCGGAAUUACUGGGCGUAAAGCGUGCGCAGGCGGUUCGGAAAGAAAGAUGUGAAAUCCCAGGGCUCAACCUUGGAACUGCAUUUUUAACUACCGGACUAGAGUAUGUCAGAGGGAGGUGGAAUUCCACGU